rnacentral:rRNA from 1 species
UUGAUCCUGGCUCAGAAUCAACGCUGGCGGCGUGCCUAACACAUGCAAGUCGAACGAGAAAGUGGAGCAAUCCAUGAGUAAAGUGGCGACCGGGUGAGUUACACGUGACCAAUCUACCCUUGAGUGGGGGAUAACCUCGGGAAACCGGGUCUAAUACCGCAUAAUAUCUCUGGAUCGGAAGAACUGGAGAUCAAAGGAGUAAUUCGCUUAAGGAGGAGGUCGCGGCUGAUUAGCUAGUUGGCGGGGUAAUGGCCCACCAAGGCAAAGAUCGGUAGCCGGCCUGAGAGGGCGCACGGCCAUACUGGAACUGAAACACGGUCCAGACUCCUACGGGAGGCAGCAGUGGGGAUUUUUGCGCAAUGGGGGAAACCCUGACGCAGCAACGCCGCGUGGAGGAUGUAGUCCCUUGGGACGUAAACUCCUUUCGACCCGGACGAUAAUGACGGUACUGGUGGAAGAAGCCCCGGCUAACUUCGUGCCAGCAGCCGCGGUAAUAAGGU